rnacentral:rRNA from 1 species
UACGUAGGGGCGAGCGUUGUCCGGAAUAAUUGGGCGUAAAGGGCGCGUAGGCGGCUCUGCAAGUCAGUAGUGGAAGUCCCAUUUUCAAGGUGGGGAGGGCUAUUGAAACUGCGGAGCUUGAGUGCAGGAGAGGUUAUCGGAAUUCACGGUGUAGCGGUGAAAUGCGUAGAGAUCGGGAGGAACACCAGUGGCGAAGGCGGGUAACUGGACUGCAACUGACGCUGAGGCGCGAAAGUGUGGGGAGCAAACAGGAUUAGAUACCCCUGUAGUCCCU